rnacentral:rRNA from 1 species
AGAGUUUGAUCCUGGCUCAGAGUGAACGCUGGCGGCGUGCUUAACACAUGCAAGUCGAACGAUGAAGCCUAGCUUGCUAGGUGGAUUAGUGGCGCACGGGUGAGUAAUAUAUAGAUAACGUGCCUCUUAGUCUGGGAUAGCCAUUGGAAACGAUGAUUAAUACUGGAUACUCCUUCUCAUUAUAAUUUGAGUCGGGAAAGUUUUUCGCUAAGAGAUCGGUCUAUAUCCCAUCAGUUAGUUGGUAAGGUAACGGCUUACCAAGGCAAUGACGGGUAGCGGGUUUGAGAGGAUGAUCCGCCACACUGGUACUGAGACACGGACCAGACUCCUACGGGAGGCAGCAGUGAGGAAUAUUGCACAAUGGAGGAAACUCUGAUGCAGCAACGCCGCGUGGAGGAUACGCAUUUCGGUGUGUAAACUCCUUUUAU